rnacentral:lncRNA from 10 species
UUAUUCACAACAGCCAAGAUGUAGAGGUGAUUCAAAUGUCCAUCAGUGAAUGAAUAGAUAAAGAAAUGUGGUAUAUACAUACAAUGGAAUCUUAGCCUAAAAAAGAAAGAAUUCCUGUCAUAUGCUACAGCAUGGAUGAACCUUGAGGACCUUAUGGCCGAGGAUGAACACACAAGAGAUUCACAGGAACAAACCAGACCACUGACUUGCUGCACUGAAGUUGCAAUACUUCUGAGACGUAGAUCUCCUUAUUAAUCUAGCUCAGUGUUUUGUUACCUGCAGCACAGAAACACUUUCCCUGAAAAACAGAUACAACUUUUAAAGCAUAAUUUUUAUUCUUUAGGUAUUCUGGCUAUGAGCCAGGAUAAACACAUUACUCUCUUCUUUAACAAAAAGAGCAUGGUUAACUCCAAAGACUUCUCUAGACCAGCCUGGAUGGUACCUAAACUUUAAUCAACCAAUGCUCAAGUAAAAGAGCAGUAUCCAGCCCCAGCACACCUAACUGUUUUGCAUAACAUAGGGCUCCUGACUGGAGAGCCCAGGCUGAGAUGGUGUUAAAUGCUUUUACCACGUGGGCUCCUGGCACCAAAUGAGCAAGGUCUCACCCCACAGGCCUUGGAAACCUGAGGCAGUAUUCUUCUGGGAUGUUUCCAACUAGGCUUCCCAUGAGGAUGUUAGAGCCAGCCUGGCUGGUGAAUUUUACUUCUCUCACCUCUCAGAGGUAAGAGGUCUGAGAGGCUCAGGCCCUUCCAGCUUUUGAGGAUUCCAGCAUAGUAGAAACAUAAAAAGGUCCAAAGGGAAUUACAAAAAUAAUCUAUUUUCAGUUCUUAUACUUAACAAGUCAAUUCUUAUUAAAAAAAUAAAUCAAUCAAACUUUU